CCUUUCGCCGCUGUGUGCCAGACCCCCGAGGAGCACAAAAGAGCAGCUUGAAGGGCUCUUUGUGUCUGAAUCGCUGGGAGGCUUCCCAAGACUGAAGUUGGAGGCACCAAGGGACGUCCUGGUCACGGACCAAAAGAAACCACCUCCACCACGCGCCUCACCUUGCCUACGUCCAUCGCUGGGAACCGGGUGCCGAGAGAAGAGAAGAACCCGCGAGGCUGGUGAUGAGCUGCAGCCCCGUGCCCCGGGCAGUUGGCGCUCUCUUUGUGGGCUCCUUGGAAAUUCUGCCUCCAAGAACCCUGGAAAAGUAGCUCUUGAAUGGCCAUUUCCACUCAUAGACAAGAAAGGAAGGAGUCUGUAAUCUUCAAAACCUCUUCAGGUCAUUCUGAUGUUCCACUACUGUAUUUUGGCUUUGCUUUUUUUUUUUGCUUUCUGUUAUUGACACAGAAACAAUAACCAUACAUUCCCUAUAUAGUACUUAAAGAAGUGGCCCAUGGGAAUUUUGGAGCAAAGAGGGCCUAGAGGACAUCAGUUACCAAGAGGAGUCUGAGAAGCAGAAGACUCACAUCACCUGGAUACCUUCCUUGGACCUCAGCCAGCUCAAGUACCACCUUCCCAAGGAAACUAUGCCUCACUUCCUUUAUCUGCUUUAUAAUACUGGCCUCCCCUAGGAAUAUCAGUAACCUCACUGCAAAUGUAUAUUCAUUUUCUUGAUUGUUCUGUUUCCUCCUCUAGAAAUCAUGAUAGUAAAGUUACAUCUGUUUUUGUUCACUAUCUCACCCUUAAAUCCCAGCGCCUGGCACAUUUGUAGGUGCUCUAGAAUGUAAGAAUACAACUGAUAUAUAUAA